AGCCCAGCCCGGGGCGCCGGCUUCGCCGCGUGCGCGUGCGCAUGGUGGGGUUUGGCUGGCUGCGGGAUGCGGUCGAGGCCGCCGAGGCCGCAAACUCCAGUGGGAAGGCGGCGUGCCGCGGCCGGCUUCGGUGGAGGAGGGGGCGUUUCCCCGGAAAAGGAAGGAAGUGGGUGUCACGGGCCUCAAUACGGCCCCUUUGACGUCUUGAGUGGGAAAUCACAAGAUACUGCUCCAGAUUUUCCCAUUUUAUGGCUAAAUCCAAAUGACUCGGACCCCCUGCCCCAUCACAUCAGGAACUUCAGCAGUUCCUUCCACCAAAGCUCAACUAUUGCUGCAAGCGCUUUGGUAAUCACGAGCAUUAUCUAUGAAGCUACUGCUGUGGUCAGGGCCCCAGUCGUCCUGCUGAGUAGCAGACUUUGAAAGACGGUGUCCAAGGCCACCCUGCUGGUCAGUGACCUGCUCUAGAGGCUAAGCCAGGGCAUGCUUAGAACUUUGAUAUUUAGACUUCUUACAUUAACUUAACCCAGUUAACAGGUUUGUGGGGGCAUUUUUUGUUUGUUUUUUUGAGACCGAGUCUCGCUGUGUCACCCAGGCUGGAGUGCAGUGGCACAAUCUCUGCUCACUGCAGCUUCUGCCUCCCGGAUUCAAGCAAUUCUCUCACCUCAGCCUCCAGAGUAGCUGGGAUUAGACGUGUGCCACCACACCCAGCUAAUUUUUGUAUUUUUAGUAGAGACAGG
rnacentral:lncRNA from 1 species